rnacentral:misc_RNA from 1 species
GAUUUGAACCCUCUGACUUAGGCUUUGCUUCCAAGGCAAGAUACAUUUACUUAUGGUACAAAAAAAUUGGGCCUUACAAGGCCGCGUACUCUUCUCAUGUCACUUUUUAACAAAUAUAAAACAAAUGUAUCCUUCUUGUGAUCACAUUAUUUUCCUCUCCCCUCUUCCCCUCCUUUUCUUUGCAUUUCUCUUGCACUCAGAAAAAUUAAAGAGAAUAAGUAUUAGAAAAAAAAUGGAGGAAAAAAAAAAAAAAUCGUGGGUGUCAAUUCAAUGCUUUUCAAUCUUAUACAAUGUUUAUACACUCUUGUCUUCAUCAUCAUCAUAGUAGAAAGGUAAUGGUACUGACUUAAAUGCCCUAAACUUGCCAACGUUAUUCAAGUGUUCAUUCUCCAACCUGAAGAAAUUCCAGAUGCCACGCCGAAUUAUCUCCAAGCAGGCAACAAUUGCAGUUAAUGCUGUUCUAUGUAGGAAAGGUGCUUGUCUAAAGCCCAACACUGUCUGCAUCCAAGCAAGUCUUAACAAAACAUUCAGCCCCAUUGCUACAAAGUAAACACUUUUCUUUGGUAUAACAAGCUUAUCUCUAAGCCAUGGAUUUCUUGAAUUUGGUCUUAGAAGACCCCAGUCUAUUACAAUGUCCCAGUAUGUACUAAUAAUGGUUGCAAAACCUGAGGUGGCUGCAGCCAAGAUCUUCCAAGUCAUUCCCCUUUUCAGAUCAUAACAUGUCCUCAAGGCAACCGCAAUAAUUGUUGACAGGUAUUUUACUGAGUUAUACACUUGCAUUGAGUCUCUUUCUUCAAAAAAUCGGCGAAGACACUGAAGGAAGCGGAUCCAAUAUGGAAUCAUUGCUACAACAAAAUAAAAACUUUCAAAAACUUUGCUUUCGUAGCAUCUAUUUGACCUCUUUUUGAAGUCUCCCCAGCCAUAGUAGCAAACAUAGAAUUCCAAAUUUCUGAAUGCUUGCACCUGAAAUUCAGUAGUGGUGAACAGAGCUACAGAUAUUGGCAAAUUAAGGAAGCUAAUGUGCAUUUUACUUUAUUACACUUAGAACCAAAAGAAGUAAGUGUUUGGAAUUUUAUCUAUAUUGUGAAGUAAGAACUAUUUCAAACCUGGCUAGUAAGUUGAUCUGCCAAGAAGAAAUCUGGGAGGAUAACCUUAUAAAGAGGAGCAAGUAGACAAUGAAGAGCACAUUGGAUCAGGAAGAAGCGACUUGACCGGUAUAUUAUAUUGAAAGGGCAGAAUGUUAUCAGAAGCACAAGAGUGAGUAGGCCCAAAGGGAUUAAUUCAGUAAUUGCUGUGAAGCUUUUUGUUCUUGGGUCCAUUUCCAUAUCCAAAUUUGAAAGGACACCAACCAGUGUAAGCACUGCCAGACCUGAACCAAGAAGCAAGACUUCUCUAUAAUCCAAUUCUGUUCCUUGCUUGAAGCCAAAUAUGAAUGCAUAAUUGACCCUGUAUCGUUUCCAGAAGUGUAUAUUUGCAGCAUACAUGAUCAUGUGCACGACUAUAAAUCCAAACAAUGAGUACAAUGGAAAUAUGUUUUCCAUAUACUUUGGACCUCCUGAACUGUUGAGGACAUCUCUAGCAUGUAUUAGCACAAUAACUGCAAUCAUAAGUGCAAAAGAGCAGCCAGAGAAGAAACCCAGUGAAAAUGUAGUUCUGUGUUUUUCCCUCUUAGCUUUUGGUCUUAAAGUGUUCAUUCCUUUUCUAUGAUUCCCAUUCGCAAAGUGCUUAACGAAUGUAGCCUCCACCCUUUCCAUGAGCUUAGUAACCUCUUCAGAGCUUCCCAGAUAAGAACUGUCUACCAUAUCUAGGUAAGCUUUUGAUGCAUUCUGUGAAGUGAUCUUGUCAUAUUUUUUCAUGAUCUUGGAGAAUGCUAAUUGGUUCAAGAAGCAGUAGCUUUUCAGAAGUCGAAGCUUUUGGUGGAAUGCCAUAAAAGCGUGAGCCAUCAGUUCCUCUGCUUUCCUUAGUUCUUCCUUGCUAUAGGACAAGUCUGAUUUCGAACUUGCAAUGAUAUUUUUCAUUGUAGAUACAGGUGUUUCAGGCUCAACAUUGAUCUUUACAUGAUCCAAAACUUCUAACGAAGCCGGUCUAAAUCCCUCAAUGUUAUGAGUGGCUUUCCCCUGGCUACAAGAGGCAGAGUUCUCAUCAUCACUGCCUCUCUUAUCAUCUUCUGAAUUUGUUUCGUUGCUCAUCUCAACUUCUUGAAUCACUUCCAUAUGUGACCAUUCUGGGUUUCUAGUUCUGUCAUUGAUGGGAUGAGCAACUGAUGCCGAAUUCAAGGAAACUCCAUUGGUGGCAAGAUUCCCCAUAUUUGCUCCUUCAAGCUCUGGAUUCUCCACCUUAAUCCUUAGCGCUAUCAAAGCAUCCAUUUGUCUACUCAAAUCAUCUGCCUCUGCCAUAACUUCUUUAACCUUUUUCUUGUAAAACUUGACCACCUUAUUGAACUCAUCAUCAAGCCUCUUAAAGAACAUAAGUUCAAGCUCGCCUCCUUCCCCUGAUGCAUUCAUAAACAUGGUCUGGUAACGGCCUUCUCCUCCCUCUUCUUUCACUGCGCUUAUUAAUAUCACUUCUUCUUCACUGACAUUCUUUCUUGGAGAGCCCCUAUAUCGGUUUGUUAGGCCACUGAAGGCUCUAUAGAGGGAUGCCCUUCUCUUCAAAGAACCUUUUGAGGUUGCUGCUGCCGCCAUGGGAGAUGGAGUGUUUCUUUGUUUGGAAUGCAAGACCUCUUUUAAGAUUUUCUUCAGAUAGUUGUAGUCCAUGUAUGCUUCUUGCCAUUCCUGUACCAUCUGUGCUGCGAAUUCUUUCCCAAACUUCAUCUUCUUCAGGAAACAAAUGUUUCUGCUGAUUAUUACAAAUCUUUAUGAACAUAAACAUAAAGAUCUUCCUAGUACUCUCAAUGUUUAAUCCAAACACCAAUCUUGAUGAUUAUAUAAAGAACUUGCAGAAACCGCCGCCUUCUCUCCUCCUUUCCAAUCUUGACGAGAAGUAAAUAAAAAGCAAUUCCAUUAUACAUAAUAAUUUUUUUUUUCCUCUCU